AUUGAACGCUGGCGGCAGGCCUAACACAUGCAAGUCGAACGGUAACAGAAAGCAGCUUGCUGCUUUGCUGACGAGUGGCGGACGGGUGAGUAAUGUCUGUGAAACUGCCUGAUGGAGGGGGAUAACUACUGGAAACGGUAGCUAAUACCGCAUAACGUCGCAAGACCAAAGAGGGGGACCUUCGGGCCUCUUGCCAUCGGAUGUGCCCAGAUGGGAUUAGCUUGUUGGUGGGGUAACGGCUCACCAAGGCGACGAUCCGUAGCUGGUCUGAGAGGAUGACCAGUCACACUGGAACUGAGACACGGUCCAGACUCCUACGGGAGGCAGCAGUGGGGAAUAUUGGACAAUGGGCGCAAGCCUGAUGCAGCCAUGCCGCGUGUAUGAAGAAGGCCUUCGGGUUGUAAAGUACUUUCAGCGGGGAGGAAGGGAGUAAAGUUAAUACCUUGGCUCAUUGACGUUACCCGCAGAAGAAGCACCGGCUAACUCCGUG
rnacentral:rRNA from 1 species